UACAGAGGGGGCAAGCGUUGUUCGGAAUUACUGGGCGUAAAGGGCGCGUAGGCGGCCUUCUAAGUCGAACGUGAAAUCCCUGGGCUCAACCCAGGAACUGCGUCCGAUACUGGGAGGCUUGAAUCCGGGAGAGGGAUGCGGAAUUCCAGGUGUAGUGGUGAAAUGCGCAGAUAUCGGGAAGAACACCUAUGGCGAAGGCAGCUCUCUGGGACGGUACUGACGCUGAGACGCGAAAGCGUGGGGAGCGAACAGG
rnacentral:rRNA from 1 species